rnacentral:rRNA from 1 species
AGUGAACGCUGGCGGUAGGCCUAACACAUGCAAGUCGAACGGCAGCACAGUAAGAGCUUGCUCUUACGGGUGGCGAGUGGCGGACGGGUGAGGAAUACAUCGGAAUCUACUUUUUCGUGGGGGAUAACGUAGGGAAACUUACGCUAAUACCGCAUACGACCUACGGGUGAAAGCAGGGGAUCUUCGGACCUUGCGCGAUUGAAUGAGCCGAUGUCGGAUUAGCUAGUUGGCGGGGUAAAGGCCCACCAAGGCGACGAUCCGUAGCUGGUCUGAGAGGAUGAUCAGCCACACUGGAACUGAGACACGGUCCAGACUCCUACGGGAGGCAGCAGUGGGGAAUAUUGGACAGAGGGCGCAAGCCUGAUCCAGCCAUACCGCGUGGGUGAAGAAGGCCUUCGGGUUGUAAAGCCCUUUUGUUGGGAAAGAAAAGCAGCAGGUUAAUACCCCGCUGUUCUGACGGUACCCAAAGAAUAAGCACCGGCUAACUUCGUG